rnacentral:ncRNA from 1 species
AAAAAAAUAAAUAGCACCCCGUAUAUUCCUGGUAAUAUGGUCCGGGAGUCUCUACAGAGUAACCGAUAAUUACUCUACUAUGGACGGUUAAUUAUA